rnacentral:rRNA from 1 species
AUGGUUCUGGAGGACGAGAGCAGCGAUGACAACUCUAGCCUCCCCUACAUGUACUCCGAAACCUCCACCGAUGGGCUGAACCAGGAAGGUCAGAAUUGUGGGUUUGUUCAGUGGGUUGAUGAGCAGUGGCCCCCAACAAUGGAGAAUGCAUUGUUGAAGCUUUGGUCAAUGGUUGAAGAGAGCAAGUGUGCUAGGUUGAAUGAUAAUCUUGAAAGUUCUUUAACUAUUCACUAUUUGACAGAACAAAAGAACAAGCUGGAUGUAGACUAUGACAAGUUGGUGAAAGAUGUGCAUCAACUUGUGGAUAUCCAGGCUGAUAGGGUUGUGGAUUUCAGUUAUCUGCAGUCCAACCUCACAUAUCAGCAGGAAUGCAGAGCUGAGUUGAUUGCUGGUAUGAAGGAAGAAAUGGCAAAGAAAGAUGCAGCUGCAGAGAAGGUUCAACAGAAGUAUGGAAUCCUGUGCAACCUGACAAGUGCUCAAGCAACUGUCAUCCAAAACCUGAAGUUGAAGAAUAUGAAAGAGAAGGAAUUGCUGAGUGAGGCUAGGAUGAAUUUGGAGUUGAAGAAUGCAAAGUUCUCACAGUUUGAGGAGAAGCUCACCCAAGAGAAGCUAGAGUUGAAGUUCCAGGUUGCUGAUCUGCUGAAGCUCAAGGAAAACUAUAAUGAAGAGAAGCAGAUGCAAGAGUUUAAGAUUACUGAGCUCAUGAAGGCACAGGAGAAGCUGAAGGAGAAGAUCAAGGGGAUCCAGGCCAUCUUGCAGAACUAA